rnacentral:rRNA from 1 species
AGUUCGGCUGGAUUGGAUACAGGUGUUGCAUGGCUGUCGUCAGCUCGUGUCGUGAGAUGUCGGGUUAAGUCCUUUUAACGAGCGCAACCCUCAUUGCAUGUUAAUUUUUUCAUGCGAGACUGCCCUGGUUAACAGGGAGGAAGGUGGGGAUGACGUCAAGUCAGCAUGGCCCUUACGCCUUGGGCUACACACGUGUUACAAUGGCCGGUACAAUAAGUCGCAAUACCGCAAGGUGGAGCUAAUCUAUGAAAACCGGUCCCAGUUCGGAUUGGGGGCUGAAACUCGCCCCCAUGAAGUCGGAAUCGCUAGUAACCGUAAAUCAGCACGUUACGGUGAAUACGUUCCCGGGUCUU